rnacentral:misc_RNA from 1 species
AGACAAGCCAAUAAAUGGUAGCUGGCCAUCACAAAGAAUCUUCACAGCUCCUCGCUCAUAUAGAACAAUUAUAAAUCGCCUUAGACAAAUGGUUUUGCUUUCCUCAUCUGGAUUUGAAAUGAUUGCACAAUACGCAUCAUAGUAAUAGUUCAGAUCUAAAGUGAACUUGAAGACAUUUGCCCAAAGACGUCCCUUGACAGCAGUUGCUGAUUCAUCAAGAACACCAGAUCCAAGAGCUUCAUCAACUUGCUCAAGUGCAGCAAGAGCAAACUGGCAGGCAGCCUCCCUCAUGUUAUGUUGUUCAAAUAUUUGCAUUGCCCAUUGAUAGUAAUGA